rnacentral:rRNA from 1 species
GAUGAACGCUGGCGGCGUGCCUAAUACAUGCAAGUCGAGCGAGCAGACGAGGAGCUUUCUCCUCUGACUUUGUCGGCGGACGGAUGAGUAACACGUGGAUAACCUACCUAUAAGACUGGGAUAACUUCGCGAAACCAGAGCUAAUACCGAAUAAUAUAUUGAACCUCAUUGUUCAAUAGUUAAAUACGGUUUUGCUUUCGCUUAUAGCUGAAUCAGCGCCGCAUUAGCUAGUUGUUAAGGUAACGGCUUACCAAGGCAACGAUGCGUAGCCGACCCGAAAGGGAGAAUCGCCACACUGGAACUGAGACUCGGUACAGACUCUGACGGUAGGCAGCAGCCGGGAAUCUUACGCAAGGCGGGAAAGCGGAACAGAGCAAAGCCGCGUGAGUCCUGAAGGUCUUAGGACCGUAAAACUAUGUUAUCCGUGAAGAACAAAUGUUCAAGUACCCAGGAACGUCUUGACGGUACCGAAUCAGAAAGCCACGGCUAACUACGUG